rnacentral:misc_RNA from 1 species
CUGGCUUACCUCCUCAGUUAUGCGUCAAGGCUUGUAUCGCCCUAAGCGUAUUGUGGGUUUUCUGCAUUGCAUACCUAAUUGACGGUAUUGUUUGGAUCGAUUGUAGUCCCUUUUCGUCUUGUGUUGCAUUUUGUGAUGCGUGAUGAACCUUGAAGCGGUCUCUAUGAUCCAUCAUGUUGAUGCGCAUGCAUUGAUCAUGUGGCCCAUUGAGCUUUGCUUUGUUUCUUGGAUACGGAACAUGAUGUGGGCAUGGUGGUCUGUCAUGAUCCUUGUUUUGCCCUUGUUUGGUGUACUCUAGAACGACAGUUCAUGCACGCCUAGGCCCGUACCUGCGUGAUGUUCUAUGUCGAAGAGGAAUGC